UCCUUAUUUCUAAGGCAGUCUCGCUAGAGUGCUCCCGAAGGAUAGCAACUAGCGACAGAGGUUGCGCUCGUUAAAGGACUUAACCCAACAUCUCACGACACGAGCUGACGACAGCCAUGCAGCACCUGUAUAUCUGUCUUAAUUGCUUAAGAAAGGGAUAUCUCUACCCCGAUCAAACAUAUGUCAAGCCCAGGUAAGGUUCCUCGCGUAGUGUCGAAUUAAACCACAUGUUCCACCGCUUGUGCGGACCCCCGUCAAUUUCUUUGAGUUUUAGUCUUGCGACCGUACUCCCCAGGCGGAUCACUUAUCGCGUUAGCUACGACACUAAGCUCCUCAAGGGAACCUAACGUCUAGUGAUCAUCGUUUACGGCGUGGACUAC
rnacentral:misc_RNA from 1 species